AUUGAACGCUGGCGGCAUGCCUAACACAUGCAAGUCGAACGGGGUGUAGCAAUACAUCUAGUGGCGGACGGGUGAGGAAUACAUAGGAAUUUGCCCUUAAGUGGGGGAUAGUCCGGGGAAACUCGGUUUAAUACCGCAUGAUCUCGUGAGAGCAAAGCAGGGGACCGCAAGGCCUUGCGCUUUUGGAGAAGCCUAUGUCGGAUUAGCUAGUUGGUAGGGUAAUGGCCUACCAAGGCAACGAUCCGUAACUGGUCUGAGAGGAUGAUCAGUCACACCGGAACUGAGACACGGUCCGGACUCCUACGGGAGGCAGCAGUGGGGAAUAUUGGACAAUGGGCGCAAGCCUGAUCCAGCAAUGCCGCGUGUGUGAAGAAGGCCU
rnacentral:rRNA from 1 species